rnacentral:antisense_RNA from 1 species
CAUUCUACUUUCUGUCUCUAUGAAUUUGACUACUCGAAGUACCUCAUGUGAAAUGUUGGUGCCAAAUGAACUUUUCUGGUUCUUCUGAAUAUGCCACUGUUGCUGCAGAAAUGUCACUGCUAGAGAAUAGAAGACUAUUAUUACAAAAGGUAUUUGAGACUGACUGAAUCAGGUCUGGAACAUUAUUGAAAUGAGACCCACAAAGGAAGAGAUACUGAGUGUAACUGGAUCUUGGUUCAUGCUGCGCUUAAAAUUUGAUCUUCUGAAUAUCAGCAGAAAGACUCUGGUGAAUACAGGUCUUCUGAGCAAUUAUCAGCUGACUUUGUCGUUAGACUGCCCUUUCAGAAGUUGUCAGUGACAUGAAUCUUUGCUCCCUUCUUCAUGGAAUAUUUCUGAUCUAAUAGCCCCUACAUUUCAAAAGAUGGAUAUAAACAUCAGAUGAAUAUUACAGGAAAGCUGGAUUGCUCUGCAGUGAGUGAAACAUGGAAAGGCCUUUCCCCACCAAGCAGUAGGCCAAAUUGUAACAGUAAGAUGUAUUCGAAAUAAAAUGGUUCAUAGAUCA